CCGACGAGGUUAAACAGAUCGACGAGGUUAAACAGAUCGACGAGGUAAACAGAUCGACGAGGUAAACAGAUCGACGAGGUAAACAGAUCAGCGAGCCGACGAGGUUAAACAGACCAACGAGCCGACGAGGUAAACAGAUCGACGAGGUAAACAGAUCGACGAGCCGACGAGGUAAACAGAUCAACAAGCCGACGAGGUAAACAGAUC